UUUGCGUUAGCGAUUGAAAUGGCAUCCUUUUGCCUUUUUUAGGCAAAAGAUACAAUAGAAAGCGCGACCUUUU
rnacentral:sRNA from 1 species